rnacentral:rRNA from 1 species
UAGGGAAUCUUCCACAAUGGACGCAAGUCUGAUGGAGCAACGCCGCGUGAGUGAAGAAGGCUUUCGGGUCGUAAAACUCUGUUGUUGGAGAAGAAUGGUCGGCAGAGUAACUGUUGCCGGCGUGACGGUAUCCAACCAGAAAGCCACGGCUAACUACGUGCCAGCAGCCGCGGUAAUACGUAGGUGGCAAGCGUUAUCCGGAUUUAUUGGGCGUAAAGCGAGCGCAGGCGGUUUUUUAAGUCUGAUGUGAAAGCCCUCGGCUUAACCGAGGAAGCGCAUCGGAAACUGGGAAACUUGAGUGCAGAAGAGGACAGUGGAACUCCAUGUGUAGCGGUGAAAUGCGUAGAUAUAUGGAAGAACACCAGUGGCGAAGGCGGCUGUCUGGUCUGUAACUGACGCUGAGGCUCGAAAGCAUGGGUAGCGAACAGGAUUAGAUACCCUGGUAGUCCAUGCCGUAAACGAUGAAUGCUAGGUGUUGGAGGGUUUCCGCCCUUCAGUGCCGCAGCUAACGCAUUAAGCAUUCCGCCUGGGGAGUACGACCGCAAGGUUG